ACGUGGGUAACCUGCCUUAUAGUGGGGGAUAGCCUUUCGAAAGGAAGAUUAAUACCGCAUAAGAUUGUAGUAUCGCAUGAUAUAGCAAUUAAAGGAGCAAUUCGCUAUAAGAUGGACCCGCGUCGCAUUAGCUAGUUGGUGAGGUAAUGGCUCACCAAGGCGACGAUGCGUAGCCGACCUGAGAGGGUGAUCGGCCACAUUGGGACUGAGACACGGCCCAGACUCCUACGGGAGAGCAUG
rnacentral:rRNA from 1 species